GACGAACGCUGGCGGUGUGCUUAACACAUGCAAGUCGAACGGUAAGGCCCUUUCGGGGGUCCACGAGUGGCGAACGGGUGAGUAGCACGUGAGUAACCUGCCCUCAUCUCUGGGAUAACAGUCGGAAACGGUUGCUAAUACUGGAUAUGAGCUUGCAAGGCAUCUUGUGGGUUGGAAAGAUUUUUUUGGUUGGGGAUGGACUCGCGGCCUAUCAGCUUGUUGGUGAGGUAGUGGCUCACCAAGGCUUCGACGGGUAGCCGGCCUGAGAGGGCGACCGGCCACAUUGGGACUGAGAUACGGCCCAAACUCCUACGGGAGGCAGCAGUGGGGAAUAUUGCACAAUGGACGGAAGUCUGAUGCAGCAACGCCGCGUGCGGGAUGACGGCCUUCGGGUUGUAAACCGCUUUCAAUUGUGACGAAGCUUUUUGUGACGGUAGCAGUAGAAGAAGCACCGGCUAACUACGUG
rnacentral:rRNA from 1 species